rnacentral:rRNA from 1 species
UACGGAGGAUGCGAGCGUUAUCCGGAUUUAUUGGGUUUAAAGGGUGCGCAGGCGGACUCUCAAGUCAGCGGUCAAAUCGCGGGGCUCAACCCCGUUCCGCCGUUGAAACUGGGAGCCUUGAGUGCGCGAGAAGUAGGCGGAAUGCGUGGUGUAGCGGUGAAAUGCAUAGAUAUCACGCAGAACUCCGAUUGCGAAGGCAGCCUACCGGCGCGCAACUGACGCUCAUGCACGAAAGCGUGGGUAUCGAACAG